AGGGACACCGGGAAGGACACGGGAAUGCAUGGGGACACGGGCAGGGACACGGGAACGCACAGGGACAUGGAUGUGGGUACGGGCAGGGGCACGGGGACGGGCACGGACAGGGACACGGGGAUGCACAGGGACACGGGCAGGGACACCAGCAGCACCAGCAGGGACACGGGGAUGGACACGGACACCGACACGCCCAGGGUGCAACCCUGGUGGCACUGCUGUGACCGACACACGCGUGUGCCCGGGACCCCCCCGGCCGUGCCGUGGGCACCGUGGGGACGCGGAGUUGUGAGCACGCGCGUGUGCGCCCUGUGUGAGCACACCCGGGGCAGGACCUCGGGACACGUCACCCCCCGCCCCUCCCGCACACACUCGUCACCUCCUCCACGCGCACACACACACACGUGUGCGCUCCCAGCCACCCCCUUGUGCUCCCCCCCAUUUUCGCUCCCUGCCUCCGCUCCUCCUGCGGCGUGGGGCGUCCCCAAGACGCUCGGGACCAGCCGCCCCCUCCCCCAGGCGCCAGGCCCCCCCCUUUUUGCCCUUUUUGACCCCUUCCAGCUCCCAGGCAUUGCGCAAAGCACCCCGCAAUCCUCCCCGGACCGCGCUUGGCGGCCUCGAUUAAACACCAAGCAGCCACGGGGCGUUUUUAAGGGCUUUAGAGCCGUGGAAGGGACACAGGCAGGCGACAGACGCUGGCUGGCCCUCGUCGUCCCCGUCCCUGCUGUUUCGGGGCAUGUGUUGUUUUUCCGCCCAAUUUCCUGCUUUAACGAGCCCCGCUCGCCCCGCAGAAGCGGCGCGGCGGACGGCGGAGCUCGGGCCAAGCCCCGCCGUGGGGCGGCCGUGCCCCUGGGGCCCCCGUCCCUCGAGGCAGGGCCCCGUCCCUUCGCCGGGCACCACUCGGUACCCGAAUUUCUCCCGCUCUCCCCGCGAGGCUGUAAACACGAGCUGGGGAACGCCCUGGCUGGGGGAGGAGGAAGGAAGCUUCUCCCCGCGGGCUGGCGGCCGCCGCGGCAGCGCCCGGCCCCGCUUUUGGAAGGGGCGAGGGUCCAACAGGUAGAGAAGCGGCCCGGUGGCAGGGAGCGAUCCCGACACCCGGCUCCUCCGCUUCUGCGCCACUGUCUGCGGCCUCCCAGCCCGCCCGGGCUGCGGAGAUGAAAGCAGAGGUGCCAAAACUCCCCCAGGGGCUCCACAGGGAGCGAUUCCUGCAGGGAAUCCCCCCCCGGGGCCGGGCUUCUCACCUCCCUGGGUGCCGAGCAGAGCAGAAGGGGGCUCCUCCUGCAGCUCCCCCCCCCCGUGGGCAGCAGCUUUCGGAGGCGUCAGCAUCGCUGCUCCCACCCCGGCGACUUCAAAGCGCCCCCAGCCCCUCGGCGAGGGCAGGAGGGGCGGCUUUAUGGCCGGGGCCUCGCCGCUGCCAUUUGCCCGCAACCGCCGGCCACCCUCUUCCUCUUCCUGCCGCUUUCGGGAGCAGUUUGACGAUGGAUGUUUUUCAACCCCCCCCCCNNNNNNNNNNNNNNNNNNNNNNNNNNNNNNNNNNNNNNNNN
rnacentral:lncRNA from 1 species